rnacentral:lncRNA from 1 species
AUGUUAAUAGUAUUUCCCUACUAAUUAGUAACGCUGCUCCGACGAACUCCCCGCUUAAUGGCAUAAAUUGCCAGCCAGAAAGGCUGGGGCUGAGAGGGGGGGGGGGGAGGCGGACUCCUCGUUCAUCCGUGUUCCUGGCGUGGCACUGAGUCGUCGCCAUGGCUACAGCAGAGAGGGACCCAUGCAGAGAGAGGGUCAGCCGUGGGUAUCCCUGCCCCAUGGAAAAUCAUUGGGGGGGGAGGGAGGGAGAAGGGAGCUGCACGGGGGAAGGAGAAAGCACAUCAGGGCAAGAAAACCUCUGCCCGACCCACACCCCACCCGGAAGACGGGGCCACACGCCCUGGCAUGGGUGGGUGCCGCCAGCCCUCCAAAACAGCCCCCUUUGAGGGACCGCGCGGCUCCUGGUGGAGAAACAGAGGCCAAACACAAUGGGGAAGUCUACGGUCACCUACCUGGAGGGCAGGGGGGCGGGGGCGGGCCGAAGAGGGAGCAGGAAGAGAAGAUGUUCUGGAGUUCUGGAAGGCAGAUGAGCACACACCACCAGAGUCUAACCUUAUUGCCCCCCCCCCGCCGAAGAACUCACCCUGAUUAUAUGGUUCUACCCUCACUCCUCUGUCACCUGCACCAUUUAGGAGCUAAUGCCCUGGAUUGCAGUCUGCUGCUAGAGCUGGAGCGACAUCGGCCCAAGGGCUCCCUCCAUUCAACCCCAGCAGGAAAGCCGGAGGCCCGGGGGGGUUUCGCCUCAGGCCACCUUUAUGAGACCCGGGUGCCUGGUUGGCCCCUGCACCGCCUCUGGCCGACCUGCUCAGAGAGGUGGCUGGGUGAGUCUGUUCCAGCCACUCAAAGGUCUGGAGGCACCUUCCAACUUGGCAAACUUGCUUCAGGGCGAGCUUUGGUGAAUUCGAAUCCUCUUCUUCAGGGACAGGGAGACGAGAAUGAUGACGUGGUUUGUAAUCUGCAGAAGCUCACCAAUGAACUAAAUCUAGGAGUCUCAAAGGUGUCACAAGACUCUUUGACUCUGCCUCCUAGAUCUUAUUCUUCCUUCUCCAAACGGUGUGUUCAGUGUCACCAUAUGUUCGAGGUGCCCAACCAUUUGCCCACCUGGGACCUCUCCUCUACCUCGCAAAAUCUGGAA